AAAUCCUCUAUUUGGCAUAAUAUAAGGUUUUUUGGCCAAGCCAUAUAAGUGCCUAUAGCCCCUCCUGUUGUCAAUGUAUUCUCAUUGGUAGGAAUUGGUAGCAAUGCCUCAUCAUUGACUACAACAUCAAUCUCGAGCUUUGCAUGAUUGGGGGGAUACGUGUAUUAUAUAGCAUAACAUCUGGUAAGUUGUGCACUUUACCAAUACCCACUAAUCGCUUAGAUGAUAUAUUUAAAUAUAGGUUGCAAGUGUUGACACUCUAAAUGUUAGUUCAAACAUAUAAGUUUACCACUACAAUUAAACUAAAGGGC
rnacentral:lncRNA from 1 species